rnacentral:rRNA from 1 species
UCACUAGGUGAUUAGAGUUGAUCAUGGCUCCGGAAUCAACGCUGCGGCGUGGCUUACACAUGCAAGUCGAAACGAGAAAGUGGAGCAAUCCAUGAGUACAGUGGCCGACCGGGUGAGUAACACGUGACUACCUACCCUUGAGUGGGGGAUAACCUCGGGAAACCGAGGCUAAUACCGCAUAAUAUCGAAAGAUCAAAGGAGUAAUCCGCUUUUGGAGGGGGUCGCGGCUGAUUAGCUAGUUGGUAGGGUAAUGGCCUACCAAGGCAAAGAUCGGUAUCCGGCCUGAGAGGGCGCACGGACACACUGGAACUGAAACACGGUCCAGACUCCUACGGGAGGCAGCAGUGGGGAAUUUUGCGUCAUGGGGGGGAACCCUGACGCAGCAACGCCGCGUGGAGGAUGAAGGGCCUUGGGUCGUAAACUACUAAAAAAAAAAAAAAUACUGAUGGUACCGGUGGAAGAAGCACCGGCUAACUCUGUGCCAGCAGCCGCGGUAAUACAGAGGGUGCGAGCGUUGUUCGGAAUUAUUGGGCGUAAAGGGCGCGUAGGCGGUGCGGUAAGUCACCUGUGAAAUCCCCGGGCUUAACUCGGGGCCUGCAGGCGAAACUGCCGUGCUGGAGUGUGGGAGAGGUGCGUGGAAUUCCCGGUGUAGCGGUGAAAUGCGUAGAUAUCGGGAGGAACACCUGUGGCGAAAGCGGCGCACUGGACCACAACUGACGCUGAGGCGCGAAAGCUAGGGGAGCAAACAGGAUUAGAUACCCUGGUAGUCCUAGCCCUAAACGAUGAUUGCUUGGUGUGAUCGGUACCCAAUCCGAUCGUGCCGCAGCUAACGCGAUAAGCAAUCCGCCUGGGGAGGAUGGUCGCAAGGCUGAAACUCAAAAGGAAUUGACGGGGGCCCGCACAAGCGGUGGAGCAUGUGGUUCAAUUUCGACGCAACCCGAAGAACCCUUACCCUGGGCUCCAAAAUGCAGGAGACCCGGGGGAGAAA